rnacentral:lncRNA from 1 species
GUGCGUGAGGGGGCUGUGGAUGAGGGGUUUGAAUUCAACAAAAAUAUCUUGAACAAAGGUUUAUUCAUCCUUAUCUUCAGCUCAACUUCAAACAAUAUUAUCAAUUGGUCAUCCAAGGCCAAUUUCUACACCAACUUGUCCCAAUUGAAAUCCAAAUAAAGACCAAAAUGUGACAGCCCCUCAAGCCUACGAAUUUCACUCAAUUGGACUUUAAUUUCUUCAAUUUGAUGUCCAAUUUUGCUGAGGGAGAAGCCCACACCCUUUUCCACACUUGGCCUCACCAACUAGGAGAUCUGUCAAAUCCAAUGAGAGAGAGAACCUUAUAAGCAAGCUGCGCCAACAAGCCUCAAUGAACGCACGCAUCGCAUGUAGCAGGAGCUAACUAAAGGGAAGAGCUGCAGUUCCGCCGGCAUCAGUAGCAUCAUUGGACAUCCAAUCACGAUAUUUUUAGGUGAGGAAUAAUUUGAUUACCUAUUGCUGUUCUUCGUCGUCAUUCUAGUUAGCGUCUUUUUUCUUUCGAAGAGGUAGAUACAUAGAAGUGGAUGCAAGGAAAUAUGAAUUCGGGAUUAUCCAUAAACAAAGGGACCUUAGAUUUUUGGGCGAAGCUGCAACACUGACGAAACAUUUUUUGGCCUGAUUUAGCAUGUAUGGUGUUCAUAAAUUUAUUGCUUUAUUAACAUGAAGCUAAGAAAUGUGUUCUUAUAAGUCUCUGAUCAUCACAUUCUUUGUGCGAAAUAUGCAUGUGCUAACACCUAGCGGUUCAGUUCUUAGUAGAGUGAUUUUUCUGAAGAGGAGGAUGACGAAGACAGAAGAUGUUAUACUGAACGCAUUCUUGGAAAGCAUGGAGCUGCGAGCUCUAAUCUUCAUCAGCCUCAUCUGCCAAAUAGUACUCGUUUGUCUGGGUGACCGCCGAAAGCAGGUUCCAAAUGUUUCGAUCCGGGUACUCACUUGGUUGGCCUACUUGAUGGCAGAUUCAGUGGCUUCAGUUGCGCUCGGGAAGAUAA